GGUAAUACGGAGGAUGCAAGUGUUAUCCGGAAUCACUGGGCGUAAAGCGUCUGUAGGUGGUUUAAUAAGUCAACUGUUAAAUCUCGAGGCCCAACCUCGAAAUCGCAGUCGAAACUAUUAGACUAGAGUAUAGUAGGGGUAAAGGGAAUUUCCAGUGGAGCGGUGAAAUGCGUAGAGAUUGGAAAGAACACCGAUGGCGAAGGCACUUUACUGGGCUAUUACUAACACUCAGAGACGAAAGCUAGGGUAGCAAAUGGGAUUAGAUACCCCAGUAGUCCUAGCUGUAAACAAUGGAUACUAGAUGUUGAACAGAUCGACCUGUGCAGUAUUAAAGCUAACGCGUUAAGUAUCCCGCCUGGGAAGUAUGCUCGCAAGAGUGAAACUCAAAGG
rnacentral:rRNA from 1 species